CGGCAACAGCUCAAAUUUGAAAUCUGGCCUCCCGGCCCGAGUUGUAAUUUGUAGAGGAUGCUUCGAGCGUGGUCCGGUCUAAGUUCCUUGGAACAGGACGUCAUAGAGGGUGAGAAUCCCGUCCUUGACACAGACUCCCAGUACUUUGUGAUGCGCUCUCGAC
rnacentral:rRNA from 1 species